rnacentral:lncRNA from 1 species
AGAGUCCACAUAUGUUCGGGGGAGGGACCCCAGAAGGCGGCUGACAGUAUUCCUUUAGCCAGAAAUCCCUUCAGGGAAGAGAAAGGUGCUCCCCUUUGCCUGCUUUUAUACUACAGACUGUUUCCAACUCCAGCUAGAAGUGACUAUUGCCGAUUAUGCUAAUCAGUGGCGACAAGCUCCCUUUGACUGCUCACUUCUCCAUAUUUUCCAGAAAAUAUUUCAAGCAGAAUAUACUUAUUUUCCAGUUUUGAAAACAACUAGAUUGCCCAUCUCCAUUUCUCUCUAUCAUCUACUGUAUUAUUCUAUGGACAACUGCCACCCUAAUAAGCUCAAAGGAAACCAUGAGAGACUGUCUAACUAGACUUUUUGCUUGAUUUCCUGGACCCAAGAGCAGGAGUGAGGAGCUUUCUCCUGGUCAAGAAGGGAAGCCAGAAGUCAAGGCCACAGAAGACACAGGAAACAUCAUUUCCAAAGUGGGAGACAAAGCUGUUAACAGGAAAUUAUUUGUAAAGUCAAGAGCCAAGCAAAACAGAAAAAGGACAAGAAAUCUAUCACCUGUGGGUAUGAAUGGUUCUAGGGAAGUCUGUUGACAAUUGGAGGGUCUCAAAGGCGCUUUAUGGUACUUAUUUUAUGACCCUGAGUCUGGAGUCUGAUGAAUUAAAGAGGAAAUUCUGCUCUGGGCAACAUUUAAGAGAUAGUAUCUCCAGGCAGUAACUUUCGUAUUAACUCUCAUAAGAUUGAUGCCAUUCUGUCAUCUAAAGUGUGGACAAAAGUAGCAUUAAAGCAAAAUGAAAGGAU